GGCUGGGUAGCUAUGUACGGAAUGGAUAAGCGCUGAAAGCAUCUAAGCGCGAAGCCAACUUCAAGAUAAGAUUUCCCACCGUAAGGGUAAGAUCCCAGGAAGACUACCUGGUUGAUAGGUCGGAGGUGUAAGUGCAGCAAUGUAUGUAGCUUACCGAUACUAAUAGAUCGAGGACUUGACCAAG
rnacentral:rRNA from 1 species